AACCCCCACGAGGAACCAGGGGCAAUCCAUUAAGCCAAGAAAUACACCUCUAAGCAACAGAAAAUCUGACCAAAAAUGACCCAGGACACUAAUCCUGAUCAACGAACCAAGUUACCCUAGGGAUAACAGCGCAAUCCUUUCCC
rnacentral:rRNA from 2 species